AGAACGACGGGAAAUCGCACCUUCUCUUCAAAAUUUGUUUAGAUGCAGGUCAUUCGUUUAGAUGCUGACCGUCUGGUUUCCUGACCAAAUCUGCACAUAUGCACGCAGGUGAUCAAAACUGAGACAUGAAGGUGGUGUGUAUACUCGACAGUUGGGGACGGACUGUUGGUGGAGUCAACAAUGACAAUAAAACCACAAUAUCUUCCACCCUGAACCUGUCCGUCCUACAGGAUUCCCGCAGAGAGGCCCUUAGUGUUAUUGAAAAAGUCUCCAAAAGUCUCAAUGUGUCGCUGGAGCACCUGCUGUUUCAGAAGCUUGACUUCGGGGAGACAGAUAUCCUUGAUAAUUUUUACAAUGCCGACGUGGUGGUCGUCGAUAUGUCAAUCUCCGUACAACAAUCUGCUCUUUUCUAUCACAUCGGCGUACGUCAGAGCAUGGGCAUGAAACACAACAUUGUCCUAUUUUACGACACUGAUCCGGAACAAUCCCUGUCACUGAAGCUGUCGUGCGGGAUGGGGGUGGUGUUCUUGCCCUAUUUGUUAGAUAACUAUGGCACUUGUGUGGUGGUGGAGGCUUCUAAUCCAGCCGUGCCUUCUGACAGCUGUACUCAUCCAGAAAAGGGCAUGUCUUUGUACCAUCAACUUAAAAAGGCCCUCAGUGAUGUCGAGAAAUACACAGUAACCCAUCAGAAGGAGAGAUUUCUAUGCGACCUUCGUAAAGCUCGGGAGCAGUUCAAAGGUGAAGAGCUUGCAAAGGUGUUGGAGAGGCUAAGGACACGACUCGAUGACCCACAACUGUUGUCUGUUGAUGUCGUAGUCAACAUGCUCAUCUCCUUCCGAGAUUCUCAGAACUACAAUGCCAUGGUUAAGCUUAUUGAGGACCUGGAACAUAUACCAAACAACAAGAUACAUGGACAAACCAUGGUCAUGUAUCAGUACGCUUUUGCCCUCAACCGGAGAAAUAAAAAUGGAGACAGAGCUAAGGCCCUCAAAGUUAUCAAUCAGGUGUUAGCAGUACCAGACAACCAGACACCAGAUAUCCUGUGUCUUUGUGGUCGCAUACACAAGGAUAUGUUUGUAGACUCCAUCUACAAGGACCAGACCUGUUUACAGAAUGCUAUAGAAUGGUAUCGUAAAGGUUUUGAAAAACAACCACACGAAUACGCGGGUAUCAAUUUAGCGACACUGCUGGUGAUUUCAGGCAAACGGUUCUCUAAUUGUUCCGAGCUUCAGAGAAUAGGUUUGGUUCUGAACAACCUCAUUGGUAAGAAGGGUAGUCUACCCUCACUCUCUGAUUACUGGGACGUGGCCACAUUCUUCGAAAUCUCCGUCCUGGCUGAGGAGUAUGGGAAGGCUAUUCAAGCUGCCGAGUGUAUGUUUAACUUGGAACCUCCUGAUUGGUAUCUAAAGUCUACUGUAGGAAAUAUCAGUCUCAUUAUGAAGUUCAGGAAGGAGGAGCCAAACCCAGGACAGGAAAAGCAGCUCUUCAGUUUCUGGAUGGAAUUUUUUGCUGCGGCCACACAAACUGAAAUGGCUUCAAAAGGAAUUCUAUUUCCGGUCCUUGUACUGGAGCCGACCAAAGUGUUCAUGCCUAGCUUCAUACAGGUCAACAUUGACGAGGAUACCGACACAGAUGAGGUUAAACUGUGGAAUGUGUGUCCUAAAGAUGGCACCCAGAACACAUACCAGUGGAGUUUCCCAUGUACAGCCAUCAAAGGAGUGAGCUUGUACAAGAGGGAUUGCCGUGCCGUGUUUCUGUAUGUACAACAAAAUUCGGACGAUUUUCAUAUAUUUUUCUCAUCAGAGCCACAAAGAAAAAGAUUUUACGAGUUGGUGUCGAACAUGAUCGCAAACCAGACUGACAGCCAAGUUUUUGAUCUGAUGGAUGAGACAGACCAGAUUGAGUUUGAGUAUGAAUAUGAUGAGAGGAAGAAUAAAGUGGUGUUGGGUCGCGGCACGUAUGGUGUAGUAUAUGCCGCUCGUGACAUCAAGACUCAAGUACGCAUAGCUGUCAAGGAGGUACCAGAGAAACAUGAUCAAGAGGUCCAGCCACUUCAUGAGGAAAUCAAGCUCCACUGUCGCCUAGCUCACAAAAACAUUGUCAAGUACCUUGGCUCUGUCAGUGAGGAUGGCUUCUUCAAGAUCUGCAUGGAACAAGUGCCUGGAGGAAGCUUAUCACAGCUUCUCCAUUCCAAGUGGGGGCCCCUGAAGGACAAUGAGACUACCAUAGCGUACUACACCAAGCAGAUCCUCGAUGGACUUAAAUACCUGCACGACGGUAUGAUCGUCCACCGUGACAUAAAGGGAGAUAAUGUCCUAGUCAACACCUACAGUGGAGUCCUCAAGAUCUCCGAUUUCGGCACGUCAAAGAGGCUGUCCGGGAUUAAUCCUUGCGCCGAUACGUUUGCUGGUACUAUACAGUAUAUGGCUCCGGAGGUGAUCGACAAAGGAGCGAGGGGAUAUGGCCCAGCGGCUGAUAUCUGGUCCCUCGGAUGUACUGUUGUAGAAAUGGCUACAGGAAAGAUGCCGUUCAUUGAGCUUGGUAGUCCAGAGGCAGCCAUGUUUAAAGUUGGCUUUUACAAGAGUCACCCAGAGAUACCAGAUAGCAUGUCCCAGAAUGCCAAAGCAUUCCUUCUACGCUGCUUCGAUCCAUUACCAGAUCAACGAGCUACGGCAGAGGAAUUACUGAAACAUCCCUUCAUCACCGAAACACUUGCAAAGAAAAAGAAGAAGAAGGUUCAUGAUGUGGAAUACUUGAGAAGUACAUCAAGGAAACGCAAGAAGAGAAAUAGUAUGCCUGCUGGGCAUGAAACCAGGAAUAGCAGCAAAAGUCCAAUGAAGCUACAUUUACCAAAGAAGAAAAGAGAUCGUGGUCGGUCACCCAUGUCCAGUACGGGCAGCACUGACAUGGAAUUGGAUGAAGACUUGGCUAUGGUGGAUGAGGAAAGUUUUGAGCCCAAAUAUCUCCGAUCUCGUAGUCUCCACUCUGGGCAACUAAAUGUAGACUCGCCAGACAGGUCACCAUCCCCACUCCGGUCACCAUCCCCUAGGUCAUUCUACAGUUUGGAGUUUGGUGGGCUGUCCGCUAGUUCCAGCAUGACAAACUUGUCCCCGGAUAUCAGCGAGACGGAACACAGCUCUGCAGACAGUAUGGGACGGGAGUUUGGGUUCUACCUACUCCGGAAAGACUCGGAGAGACGGAUAACUCUUGUCCAUAUCCUUGAUUUGGACACAGAUAAGAUCUGCAAGACAUGGUUAGACCUACUCCACAAAGAUGCUACAAUCUCCAACCCCAAAAUAACUGUGGAACAUCUGCGGCCGCUGUUGUGUGGGCUUCGCACAUAUAUACAAGACCAGAAUGCUGGUGUUAUCAGUGAAACUCUAGAAAAGCUUAAGAUCCUCGUGGACUUUGAUGUGACGGCCAUUAUGGAGAUUAAACUCGCCCUCUAUGUCUUCCAUGAGGCUGUUGGUAAAUGUCUGAAGUGCCACAAUAUCCAGCCCCAUUGGAUGUUUGCCCUCGACAAUCUCCUACGCAGUGCGGUUCAGCGUGCUAUCACUAUAUUAUCUCCAGAGUUAGGAGCUAGUCUGUCAGUAGGCAGUAAGGAAGAUGAAGUAGAUACAUCAGGUGUUCCGUCCACAAACUCAAACAAAUCCGCCCUUGCAUACAGACCUAGUCCUGAAACAGCCGAGCUCCGCACCCAACUCGACAACAUUGAAGAAGACAACCUGAGAUUACUGCAUGAGUUAAUUGAUGUGAACCGUUCCUAUGGUAACCUACUCCGAAAGUCAAUAGAGGAUAAGAAACUCCAUAUAGAGCAUGUCAAAGUGUCUGGGAAUCUGAGCCAUCCAAAUGUCACCAUGCCAACAACUCAGGGUAAACGAGUUCCAGAAAUCCAUGAACCACCAGACGAGUCCCUGGUGACUUGGCUGAAGGAGCAGAAGUUAGAUGAGGAGUCCAUUCAAAAGGUGUCCGCAGAACAGUACACUUUAGAAGAUAUAUUAGAAAUUGUGAAUUACGAGGAUUUACGGCAAUUGAACUUACGGGGAGGUAUGGUGUGUAGACUCUGGAAAGCUAUAACCAAAUGGCGAUCAAAACAAAAAUCAUGGUAACCAAAGAGCUUUAUUGUGUUGACCUGUUCCAAGACUUUACUGAGUUUGACUGCAUGUAUUUUCCUAUCUGGGUCACAUCAGUGUUUGAAUAGUGUCCUCAGAAACAAUGUACAUAAUAGUGUGCAGCAUAGCUGUCAAACAUUUCCAUGACUGUGAUAUUUACUGUGACUAAGUGGAAUGGUAUCGUUCCCUAUAUAUAAAAUGGUAUAGGGCUGAAGAUCGGUUUUGAGAUGGAAGAUUUCACACGAAGGCAAGAUAUAGCAUCUACAGAUCUCCUACAUUGAUGAAUUUACUGAAAUGAAUGAAUUUCAUUAUUUCUGUGUUCUAUUAAAUGCCCUGGAAUCGAUAUCUAUUUUAGUAUUACUAUCCAGAAUAUAUUAGUAAAGACUGCAAAGUUUAUUUAUUCAUGAAAUGAGUAUACAACUUUUAUUUUGUAGUGAAAUACAUGUUAAUGAACACGAUGAAAAAAAUCAUGAAGAUAUUGAACUUUUUUCUUUAAAUAGAUUUUGUUUUUCGUUUCUUGAUUUUGACAUAUUUUUGACAAGCGAGCCUUGCAGUGAUCUCCGAAACUUAUCAAUGAUCUGGAGUUUAUAUUGUUGUAGUAAAUUAUAUUUACUGCCAAGUUCAGGUAACGGUUGUGUGUAUUGAGUGGUACAUUUAUCCUAUAGAAUUCAGUGUAAUUCUGUCGAGAAUAUUCUGUGUGUAAAACAUUAAAUCAAAGAUUUCUAAUGGACAAUCUUCAUUAUUCCAUACCGUGAGUGUUAUUUUAAUCCUUAAUAACAAGAGAGAUGUUGUUAUAUUCAUGUUUUAAAAAUCUAUCAAAUUAUUUGUUUGUAUGUUUUCACACUCAUCAUUUGCUGUAUUCUAGUCAUUAAAAACCAAAUAUAUAAUUGAUUUAGGUUUCCUGUGGUAGGCCCUGAGUGGCAGAAUGGAAGGAGAUGGUCUCAGUCUUUAAAAUAUACACAUUUAAUUAAUUCAUGUCUAAUGGUUUCAGCGACCUACAUAUACCUCUGGCCCUUAAUAAAUUCCUUAAAUCAAAUUUUUCAAUAGAAUAUAACUUAAUUUUUUCCAUUAAAGAAUUUAAGGAAUGUUCUUCGCUUUAGAUUUUUCCCUUAAAUUCAAUAAUAUGGAAAAUUUUUAAUUCAUGAAUAUUGUUGAAAGGGCCCUAAUACGAAGGUCUCUCUUACAGUAUAAGGGUACUUUUCUCGCUUUAAAUUUAACAUCUUGAUGAAUGUUGCUGAAUUUAUUAACUUCUCAUUCUUCAUAGUUUGAAAAGUGAAAUUCAAAAACAUUUACCACAAAUGUGUUUGAACCUAUUGAGAAUUAUUAUCAAAACAUUGACUUUGUAAAAUGUGAAAUUAUAUAAAACUUAAAGAAUUUAUUCUCAUCUGUUAAGUGUUAAGGUGGAAAGUUCUAAGUACAUUCUAUUUUAUCUCCAAUAAAGAAGAGUUCUUGUUAUUCUCAUUUGAAUUUACUUGCUCCUUGACCAUGGCCGGUAGCUCAAUACAAGAAAUAUCUAAGCUCUUUAAUCUACCAAGAUUGUAUCUCCAGACCUCUUACUUGUAAAAAUAUAAUUUCUUGAUAUAUAUAGAUUUUUUGAUCCUAAAAAAUGUUCACAAGGUUGACGACAAUGUAAAUUAAAAUGAAAAAUAAUCUCGUAAUGAUAAAAUUUCAGAGCUGGAAAAAAGGCAUAAGUCUAUAGAUUAGAGAUGGAAAGGAUUUAGGUUAAUGCUGAGGGUGGGUUGAUGUUAGGUCCUCAGGUAACAGGUGAUAUGUUAUAAUGUUUUAUUCAGAUUUCGGUUUAUGGUGGAUUUGCAGUAUUGGUAUUUCCCAGUCAAGUACUGGCAAUCCCCUUCUACUAGUACUGGUGGGGACGAAAGGCUUAGAUUUAAUCAUUUGUUUUCCACCUUAUUUGUGGAAUAUGAAAUAGACUUUUUGAACCUACAAUGAGUAAAAAUUAAAUUGCUAGUUUACAUUGGGAUUACAUCGAGUUGUCCAUGUUUUAACCCUUGUAUAUACAGAUAUAUGAUAUUUUUUUCUGAAAACAGGCCUCGAACAUUGUCAACAGUAAUUUUCUCAGUUUGCAUGAAAUUCUCUCAGUAUAGUGCUAUGGCCUACUUAAGUGUUUGUCAUUUCGUCCAGAAAAAUUCUUGUUGCAGCAGAGUUCCAAAUUUUUCAUGUGAACGAGUACAUUUUUUCGAUAGUAGAGAUUUGCAUUAUAAAAUCUGUGGUUUUGUAUUCCAAUCUAUACAGAGUUAUGGCCCUUGUUUUUCUUUGUACCUUUUCCAGGACUUUCCACCAACACUGUCAUCAAAUAAUUUAGUUAACACCUGAAUAUCUACAAAUCUAUAUUGUGAUAGCAAUGAAAAAUCUAGUUACUGUUAGUUUAUGCAGACAGAUCAUUUUAUCAAUUUUCAGUUGUAUCAUUUCAAGGAUAAAUCUUGAUGGAACUUCAGAAAUUUAUACAGGCCUUGAAAAUCUUGGUCAAGGGCAAAACUUGUCCAAAAUCAUCAUAUAAUGACUAGGUCCAUCAUUAUUUCAUAAACAAUCAACUCUGGUUGAACUGGUCAAACUGCUUAUACUGUGAUCAACAACAAAAAAAAGACCUAAUCUCCACCAUCUUCGCUUACCAAGAGUUACGAUUCAAAAUGAGUUGUGUAUUGAACAAUACCCUUGGCAAAUGAAGACAAGUCUCCACUUGAAAAAAAAAACUUAUUUUCUUUAUUUGUGUUUGUGUAUGUGUGUGAUCAUUUCAGCAAACUCGGGUAUCAACUUUGCUGUUGUUUUCCCAGAAGUUGGGUUCUAGAAUACUUCAUUCAGAUUUGUAGCUAAGUUUGCUAGAGUGAUUCUCUGGUUAAUCAGAGAUUUUUCAGGGUAUUUUAUUGUCAAAACAUGCUUUCAUUAAUCAGCAUUUGUUUAGUGUAGAAUUGGGGGUUCUAUGGAAUACUUAAAUAUCAAACAGUAUCAUCUAGUGAUCUGGGAAAAAAGUAUAUAUCCAUUGAAAUCAGUGUCUUGACUUGAAAAGCUCCCAGAACCUAGCUUGUGAAUGUAAUUUUUGUAAUGUCUUAAAGUCUUUAUUUUAAACAGUGUUAAUGAUUUUAUGUCAGUUAUUUUUUUCUGAUCAUAGAAUUAAUGAAAUUUUAUUGGAAGUAAAAAUCUUCUAAAAAUAAUUUUGUUACUUUUAUAAUCUGUUAAAUAAGUAUUAAUAUCUUUUAUUCAGGCCAAUAUGCAGAGUAUUAAAUACAACACAGGUUGUUUUAAGAAGUAGUAGCUGUUCUGUAUAUAAAAUUGCUUGUUCUAAUGUUGCAAGAAUAUAUACAGCUGCAGUCACAUUAAUUAGAAAAAUAUUUAAGGAAUGUAAAUGACAUUUUUGUGGAUGAUAGGUUAAAAAUGGACUAGUUUCACUUCAUCUGAUUUUAAGGAAUAUAUAUAUACGUCAAAUGAAACUCAUUUAAAAUCCUUUUAUAGAAAAAAGGGUAACUGCUUCAUAGUCUAUCACAAUUCUUCAAAAUGGUAGAAAGCUGCUGAAAGUUAUAGGAUAAUAUUUAUUUAUGCAUUUUUCUUCUUCUAGGUAAUUCAUAUGCUCAUUUAAUGUUAUACCGACAUUUCUGAUGUUGUACUUAAAAUAUUUUGUGCCAUUUAUAUAUACAUUGUUUUGUUUGUUUAUUUUGGUGUACAUGUUUUGGUUUUUUUUCAUUUUCGAAAUAUACAUAUAAAAACCAGGAUAAUGUGUAUGUUUAAUUCUUAAGUGCUGAUACAACUUUUUAUACACCCGAAGUAUAUUUCAAUUAGAAAUCUGUGAAAUUUUACACAAUUUUUUAAAAAAAGGGGUGGACUUAAAUUUUUUUUCAGGUUAAUUACUUGGAUAGUUUUAGAUUUUGAAUCUUAUUUUUCAAAGUUUCUACGCAUGUUUUUAAAAAUCUUGAAAAAAAUGCCAGGAGAUUACAUUUACUCUAUUCAAGAGCAAGGCCGGAAUGCCAGGUAAAGAAAUCCAAGCUCUAUUUUAUACGCCUUUUACGAUUUCAUCACUGGUAUUUUUGUCAUUGCAAUCACAUUCUAUUUUCAAAAUAAUUUUAUGUUCAUUGUUGAUUUUCUUAUAAUGUGUAUUGUUUAUUUGUUCAUGGAUGUUUUAUUUACGUGAACAUGGCUUUCAGAAAAAAUAAAAGAAAUUUUGCGGGAUUUUGUUCUGCUUACGUACCGGUAGAAUCGUGUGUCAAGCAUGUACCAAUGAAAGAAAAAAAAAUCUCCCUGGAACAAGUGCUGGUCAUUUUAAUUACUUUUAACGUUAUAUCUUCAUGUUUUACUUUGACUUUUUUGGCUAUUUACUGAUGAAUUAUUGAUUAAACUUCAAGAGAUCAACAGUGUUCAUUACCCUUUGAAACUCCAAACAAUGUUGUUUUCAGCAAACCAAGCUAUAUUUCCUUGCUUUAAAAUUCCACGGAAUAAAGUUUGUCCAGAAAUCUGAAUCUUUAAUAAACAUUUGGCAAAUGAAUACAAGUGCUGACAUGAAUUUAUAAAUAAAUUGCCAAAGUAAGAGCCCAUGAAAUGAAUGAAAAAUAAUAAAUCUGAUUAAUGAAAUUAUAUUUUAUGAAGAUGGAGAUAUUUUUUAAAACAGCAUUUAUGUGAUAGUGUGUGUAUUAACUGAUGAAUUUUACUAAUUAUCUCCCCUUUGAUUUCUGUUCCAGUAAAACUGGGUUUAUUAAACGUUAUUAAUCAGACCCUAAUUAUGGAUGUCUGAUGUUUUAAGCUUUUUUUAUGUUAUUAAUAUCUGUCAAUAAUAGGGUGUUGGACUCUCUCUUAACCAAUAAACUUUUAAGUGUAAGUUGUUGUGACAUCCGAUCUAAUUGCCUCAUUUUCUUUGUUAAAACUUUAUGUAAAAAUAAUUUUUAAGAUUUUUAAAUAUUUUUAUUGUGAAGAGUGUUUUGUUGUCAAAUUGUUAUUUUUCCUCUCACUAACACGACUUAAGUUAUAAAGAAAAUCUGCCUUUCUGUGCGAGUGUGAUUUAUAUCAUAUGAAACUUCUAUUUAUUUCAGAAUUCAUAUGUAAUGUUUUGAAUUUAAAAUGGAAAAUUCAGCUGACGCAUUAAAAAGUAUUGAUAUUUGA